rnacentral:rRNA from 1 species
CAGUAGCCGCGGUAAUACGAAGGGAGCUAGCGUUGUUCGGAAUUACUGGGCGUAAAGCGCACGUAGGCGGUUCGUUAAGUCUGUUGUGAAAGCCCCGGGCUCAACCUGGGAAUGGCAAUGGAUACUGGCGAGCUAAAGUGUGUCAGAGGAUGGUGGAAUUCCCGGUGUAGCGGUGAAAUGCGUAGAGAUCGGGAGGAACAUCAGUGGCGAAGGCGGCCAUCUGGGACAACACUGACACUGAGGCACGAAAGCGUGGGGAGCAAACAGGAUUAGAUACCCCGGUAGUCCCUGUCUCUUAUAC